GACGAACGCUGGCGGCGUGCUUAACACAUGCAAGUCGAGCGGUAAGGCCCUUUCGGGGGUACACGAGCGGCGAACGGGUGAGUAACACGUGGGUGACCUGCCCUCAGCUUUGGGAUAAGCCUGGGAAACCGGGUCUAAUACUGGAUAUGACUCCAUGACGCAUGUUGUGGGGUGGAAAGCCUUGUGCGGCUGAGGAUGGGCCCGCGGCCUAUCAGCUUGUUGGUGGGGUGAUGGCCUACCAAGGCGACGACGGGUAGCCGGCCUGAGAGGGCGACCGGCCACACUGGGACUGAGACACGGCCCAGACUCCUACGGGAGGCAGCAGUGGGGAAUCUUGCGCAAUGGGCGAAAGCCUGACGCAGCGACGCCGCGUGAGGGAUGACGGCCUGG
rnacentral:rRNA from 1 species